ACAUAAUUAUCAUCAACCUGUCUCUGCAAAACCUUCGGUAGUUUCAGUUUCAAGUAUUGAUUCUGAUGUUAGUGAUAGACGAGAUGUACGCGAAGAGCUUUAUGCUGGAAUCUUCAGAAGGCAUAGAAAAACUAUAUUGAAAUACUUGGACAGAUUACAUGCUCUGAACCGAAUAUUUGGUUUAUUUGCCAUACGAUUUGAACAUGUUGCAAGACAAAAAUUUUGGUAAAUUGGCAGUAAAAUAUAUAUUAUGCAAUUUUUUCUUCCAAAUUUUACAAUUUAUGCUUUAUGAUAUUCGUUUAAUUGAGUGCUAGACUGUUUGUUUAUAUUUGUUUUAUUAUUAUUUUAUAUUUACUUGAUACAAAAUUUCAGUUAAUACUGAACCUUUUAAAUGAUAAUUUAAUGUCUUAUUCUUUACAUUUAUAAUAAUAUAAAAUAUGAUAAAAAUUUGAAUAUUAUAUAUUACUUUCAAUAACAGAUAUUAUUGUUGAGUUAUUGGUCUGAAAAAGUAGAAUUAAUUAAGUUUACUAGAAAUUAAUGUUUUCCUUAAUCCUUUUAAGGUGGAACUACUGAAUGAAUAAACUUAUGACAGUGAUAUAUAUGUGUAUUAUGAGAAAAAAUUAUAUACACUGGGUUGUGCUAUUAUUAUGAUGAAUCUUUACUAAAAAAAAUUAUAAUACCUAUUUCUAAUGUAAUUAGAACUUAAUAUUAUCAAGAUGAUGGAAAAUGAUAAAACACCAAUACUUUAAUAUAACAAAUUAAGCAGAUUCAUAAAAAUAUCAAAUCAAAGUCUUUUUUGUUAACAAUUCAUUACUAUAUACAACUUUUGAGGCUUAUUUAAUAUUUGUCUCUCCAUUUUUGUACGUUUUGUAUACUAUUUCUCUUUAUACCAAAUACUGCCAUUAGAAAAUAUAAUAGUUGAAGUAGUAGGCAAUAGAACAUAGUUAAGUAAGAAAUACAUUCCACAUGUUUUUCAUAAAAUCUUAACAAAUUCAUAAUGUUAUACACAUAAAAAAAAAAGAAAAUCAAUAACAAAUUGUCCUUGUAUUUUAGAUGACCAUUCAAUGUCGAAAGACUGAGAAAUGUGCUUUUUUGGAACUUCAAAUGUGCCAUACUAUAACUUAGAGAAAAUCUUAGAGAAGAAUAAUCUAAAUAUGUUUGUGUAAUUAAAAAUUUCUCUAUUUGCUGUUGAUUAUGAAAUUAUUAAACAAAAAACUAUAUAGCAUAUCUGUAAAUCCUGUUAAUUAUUAUUAAUAGCUUGCAAGUAUAUCUUAUAUGAAGAUAAUUAAAUGUCAACAUAUUAAUCUGAGUUAUUAUAUGAGAAUUAAAAAUAAAAAAUAUAGAGAGAGUAUAAAUAAUAUGAAAUUAAUUAAAUAAUUUAUAAAUUUCUAAUAUUUUGCAGUUGUUACAUGCAAGGUGGAGCUAAUUGUACUUAGCAAAUAGAAAAGGAUUCUGUUAUAAAUUAAAGAGAAACAGUAUCGUUUUGCAUAAAUAUUUACAAUAAAAGCACACUUAUACAGCUGCUUGACCAAUUUUUAUGUAGAGCAAAAGAUUUAUAUAUGAAUAGUUUCAUAAAUAUCUAUCAAUUCACUCCUAUAUUAUAUUUUAUCUUAUGUAUAUGAAAACAAGUCAUCUUAUAUAUUAAAUUUUAUCAUAAGUAAUUAUAUCCAAAUAGAUAAAAGCAUUUAUGUUAGUUAUCAACACCGUGUAAGAUAUAUAAAAGGUAAUAACACCUGUUUUGUGUUUAUAUAUUAAUUGGAAAAUAGUAUACCAUCACUUUGUAUAACGCAUCAUUUGUAUACAUUUCACUGAUAUGUAUAGAUUAAAUAAUAAACUAUUAAUAUUAUAUUUAAUAACUUAUAAUGUAGUUUAAUACCUACACCUUAAAAAUUAUUGAUAUUAUGUAUAGAACAAUAAUUUAUAGAUAUUAUUAGAAUAAAAAAAUAUACUAUUUUUAAAGAUUACCUUGCUAAAUUGUCCAAGCACAUAUUUCAAAAUAUUUGAAGGGGCAUCAAAUAGAAGUGCUUCUAGUGCUUCAAUAUGCAAACAUUUUUGUAAUAUUUGCUUUAAUGAUGUAUAACACUUUGUUUUUAAAUCGUUUGAACUCGUUGGAUUGAUAUAGAGCUGUUAAUCAAAUAAAAAAAAAAAAGAAAUAGAACAGAUAUACCAUUGUAAUCAUAAAUAUAAUUUUUUUAAGAACUUACAUACUUCUAAUAAUUUUGAAAGAACAUUUGCAUCAGCUACUGAUUUUGCAUGUUCUGGUGUAUGUUUUCCUAUUUGACCUAAUGUCCAAGAAAUUACAGCAAGUAUAUGAUCAUCAGUUUCAUUUUCUAAGAUAGUACCCAAUUGAAUAACACUCUAUAGUGAUCACAAAGUGCACUUAAAACUACAUGACUAUAUAAUAUAACAUAUAUUUUAUAUCUAUAUUAUAUCUUAUACCAUUGAUCCAA